GCCCUAAAUUAACAUUUUACGAAACUUAUAUAGCAUUCACCGUUUCUCUCUUUGUCGUCUCUCUGGAAAGUUCCGUCAACCCUGCUAAACUGUAGGCCCACCGUCACUCUCUCACACCAAAACCCUAUGGCUCUGCACCCACUUCGCUUCCGUCGAAUCCUAACGACUCUCACCACCCUCCAACGUACUCUCUCCGUUUCCAACGCUACGGUCCCUACAAUUCCACCCUUCAUUUCCAAUUCCACCUGUGUGCGACCUCCAUCGUCAUCAACAUUAUUUUUCCGUAUCUUUCAAUCUCGAUGGUUCAGAUCAUCUGGGGGUCCUCUUUCAUCACCCAGACAGUACAAACUGUACAAGGAAGGGGAUGAGAUCACCGAAGAUACAGUUCUAUUCGAAGGCUGUGAUUACAAUCAUUGGCUCAUUGUCGUUGAUUUUCCCAAAGAUAAUAAACCUUCCCCUGAAGAAAUGGUUCGUACUUACGAGAACAUUUGUGCUCAAGGCCUCGGCAUCAGUGUGGAGGAAGCAAAAAAGAGAAUAUAUGCGUGUAGCACAACUACUUAUGAAGGUUUUCAGGUUCUAAUGUCUGAAGAAGAGUCUGAAAAGUUUAAUGAUAUACCCGGGGUGAUUUUUGUAUUGCCGGACUCUUAUAUUGAUCCAGUAAAGAAGGAGUAUGGAGGGGACAAGUAUGAGAACGGUGUUAUCACACCAAGACCACCCCCUAUUCAGUAUGGUAGAAACCAAGGUGGUAAGUUCCGUCACAAUAAUAGAAAUCCUGACCAACCAAGAUAUGAUCGACAAGGAAAUGCUAUGCCAAACCAGCAAGGGAAUCUACCAUACAAUCAACAGGGGUUUGCACAAGGGGAUGGAAGGAGCUAUAUACCUCCACAAGGUUAUCCACCUCGACAAAAUCUCGGUCAGCAGCCACCAAUGAACAACAGAGAGUAUGCUCCUAGAGGAAGUGGUCCUUCAUACCAGGGUAGUUACAACCAAGGAGGUCAGGGAAAUUAUAAUUCCCAAGAACGAAGGGACUUCUUUCAAGGAGAGCAGAGGAAUUAUAUGCCACCUGAGCAAAGGGAUUUCAGAGGUUAUAGUUCCCGAGAAGGAAGGGACUCCUUUCAAGGAGAGCAGAGGAAUUAUAUGCCUCCUGAACAAAUGGAUUUCCGAGGAGAUCAUAGGAACUAUGUUCCCUCACAAGGUGGGAAUUAUGGGCAGGCACCAAGUUCUGGCUAUGGACAGAAUUUUGGGCAGGGGGCAAAUCCUGGCUAUGGGCAGAAUUUUGGGCAAAGGGUCAAUCCUGGCUAUCAGGAGAAUUCCGGACAAGGAGCAAAUCCUGGUUAUGGGCAGAAUUCUGGGCAAGGAGCAAAUUCUGGCUAUGGACAGAGUUAUGGCCAAGGAUCAAAUCCCGGAUAUCGUCAGAACCAUGGGCCAGGAGCAACUGCUGGCUCUGGGCAGAGAGCAAAUCCUGGGUAUGGACAGACUUACCCAGGGCAUGGAGCUGGUCAGGGGUUCUCACAAGCAGAGCAGAGAAACGUGCAAGGAGAGCCAACCGGAUCAAUGGGGCAAGGAGGGAUGCAACAAGGAAGAAACUAAAGGUUUCAAAUGGACCUUUGAGAUAAUUGGGAGAAUGGACAUGCAAAGGAGUCCUGAUUUUGUGACCAAGAAGUUUGAGCUUUUAGCAUCCCUUAUUUGGUUUAGAGCUUGCACUAGAAACUUUGCAGCUUCGUUGUAGUACAUAUCUUAGCAACUCGGAAUCUGAUUUUGGCUUUUGUUUCGGCCUUUUAUCUUUUUCUUGAUGAAAAUAUUGGAGUUUCUUCAUCCUACAUCAAAUCUGUCUUCUCUUUGGAGAAAAUUAUGCAUGGAGGUAGUCAUUUAACAUUUCUGUCUGGAGAUUUCUGUCACCAGGAGAUGAAUAGCUGUAGAUCAUUUUUUUUUUCUUAAAAACCUUGACGUUAUGGCAUUCACCAGUUCUAAUUGAUUC